CCUACGGGUGGCAGCAGUGAGGAAUAUUGGUCAAUGGCCGAGAGGCUGAACCAGCCAAGUCGCGUGAGGGAAGACGGCCCUACGGGUUGUAAACCUCUUUUGUCGGGGAGCAAAGCGAACCACGUGUGGUUCAUUGCGAGUACCCGAAGAAAAAGCAUCGGCUAACUCCGUGCCAGCAGCCGCGGUAAUACGGAGGAUGCGAGCGUUAUCCGGAUUUAUUGGGUUUAAAGGGUGCGCAGGCGGCGGUGCAAGUCAGCGGUCAAAUGGCGGGGCUCAACCCCGUACUGCCGUUGAAACUGCAUCCCUUGAGUGCGCGAGAGGUAGGCGGAAUGCGGGGUGUAGCGGUGAAAUGCAUAGAUAUCACGCGGAACUCCGAUUGCGAAGGCAGCAUACCGGCGCGCAACUGACGCUGAGGCACGAAGGCGUGGGUAUCGAACAGGAUUAGAUACCCUAGUAGUC
rnacentral:rRNA from 1 species